UAGGGAAUAUUGGGCAAUGGAGGCAACUCUGACCCAGCCAUGCCGCGUGCAGGAUGAAGGCCUUCUGGGUUGUAAACUGCUUUUAUACAGGAAUAAAGGACCCAUGCGUGGGGCGUUGAAUGUACUGUAUGAAUAAGCACCGGCUAACUCCGUGCCAGCAGCCGCGGUAAUACGGAGGGUGCAAGCGUUGUCCGGAUUUACUGGGUUUAAAGGGUACGUAGGCGGUAUUCUAAGUCAGUGGUGAAAUGUGUCGGCUCAACCGGCAAAGUGCCAUUGAAACUGGUUUACUAGAGUGUUGUAUAGGUUGGCGGAAUUGAUGGUGUAGCGGUGAAAUGCAUAGAUACCAUCAAGAACACCGAUUGCGAAGGCAGCUAACUGGGCAACAACUGACGCUGAGGUACGAAAGCGUGGGGAGCGAACAGGAUUAGAUACCCCCGUAGUCC
rnacentral:rRNA from 1 species